UACCAGACUCCUACGGGAGGCAGCAGUGAGGAAUAUUGGUCAAUGGGCGAGAGCCUGAACCAGCCAAGUCGCGUGAGGGAAGACGGUCCUAUGGAUUGUAAACCUCUUUUGCCGGGGAGCAAAAAGCGGUACGCGUACCGCAUCGAGAGUACCCGGAGAAAAAGCAUCGGCUAACUCCGUGCCAGCAGCCGCGGUAAUACGGAGGAUGCGAGCGUUAUCCGGAUUUAUUGGGUUUAAAGGGUGCGUAGGCGGAAGGUUAAGUCAGCGGUCAAAUGUCGGUGCUCAACACCGGCCUGCCGUUGAAACUGGCAGUCUCGAGUUGGAGAGAAGUAUGCGGAAUGCGCGGUGUAGCGGUGAAAUGCAUAGAUAUCGCGCAGAACUCCGAUUGCGAAGGCAGCAUGCCGGCUCCACACUGACGCUGAGGCACGAAAGCGUGGGUAUCGAACAGGAUUAGAUACCCUAGUA
rnacentral:rRNA from 1 species